rnacentral:rRNA from 1 species
GUAGUCGAUGGGAAACGGGUUAAUAUUCCCGUACUUCUUACAAUUGCGAUGGGGGGGACGGAGAAGGCUAGGUGGGCCUGGCGACGGUUGUCCAGGUUCAAGUGCGUAGGCUUAAGAGUUAGGUAAACCGGCUCUUUUUUAAGGCUGAGACACGACGUCGAGCACCUACGGGUGUGAAGUCAUUGAUGCCAUGCUUCCAGGAAAAGCCUCUAAGCUUCAGAUUGUAAGGAAUCGUACCCCAAACCGACACAGGUGGUCGGGU